GAUGAACGCUGCGGCGUGCCUAAUACAUGCAAGUCGAGCGAGAUGUUAGCGCAUGAACCUUCGGGGGAUUAUGCUAACGGACAGCGGCGGACGGGUGAGUAACGCGUAGGCAACCUGCCCCUGACAGAGGGAUAGCCAAUGGAAACGAUGAUUAAAACCUCAUGACACCGUAGAAGCACAUGCUUCAUCGGUCAAAGAUUUAUCGGUCAGGGAUGGGCCUGCGUCUGAUUAACUAGUUGGUGAGGUAACGGCUCACCAAGGUGACGAUCAGUAGCCGACCUGAGAGGGUGAUCGGCCACAUUGGAACUGAGACACGGUCCAAACUUCUACGGAAGGCAGCAGUAGGGAAUCUUGCACAAUGGGCGAAAGCCUGAUGCAGCAACGCCGCGUGAAGGAUGAAGGCCUUCGGGUUGUAGCUUCUGUUCUAAGGGAAGAAACAAAUGACGGUACCUUAGGAGCAAGCCCGGCUAA
rnacentral:rRNA from 1 species